rfam:Myotis lucifugus cont2.18803, whole genome shotgun sequence.
GACAGUUCUUGGGUGACACACCCCAGAAUCAGGCUCCCUCCUCUCUGGUUCCGGGUGCAUCACCUGAGAACCGCA